GUGGGGGGUUAGCAUGGCGCCGCGGCUGGACGGUGCGGUGGGGGAUGGGAGGUGAGGGUUUGCCCAGGUGUCCAGCUGUUCGAAGCUGGUGCAGAGCCAGACCCAAGGGCCCUGGCUCCCAGCUGCCCGCUGCAGCCCCAUGCCUGCACGGCCUCCCGCUAAUGAAAGUGUUACUCCACGAAGCAGCAAGAUGUGGCCCCGGCUCUCAGCAAGCAGGCGCUGUGCUGACACAGACUGAGCAGUGAAUCAGAAAGCACCAGGAG
rnacentral:lncRNA from 1 species